rnacentral:rRNA from 1 species
UACGGGGGGGGCAAGCGUUGUUCGGAAUUAUUGGGCGUAAAGGGCUCGCAGGCGGCCAAUUAAGUCAGACGUGAAAUCCCUCGGCUUAACCGGGGAACUGCAUCUGAUACUGGAUGGCUCGAGUUUGGGAGAGGGAUGCGGAAUUCCAGGUGUAGCGGUGAAAUGCGUAGAUAUCUGGAGGAACACCGGUGGCGAAGGCGGCAUCCUGGACCAACACUGACGCUGAGGAGCGAAAGCCAGGGGAGCAAACGGG